GGCGGCAUGGCCAAGUGGUAAGGCAGGGGACUGCAAAUCCUUUACCCCCAGUUCAAAUCUGGGUGCCGCCUG
rnacentral:tRNA from 1 species